rnacentral:ncRNA from 10 species
AACGUUCACCCGUAAGGGCGGAAGUAAGCGAUCGCUGAAGGAACGCACC